AUUGAACGCUGGCGGCAGGCCUAACACAUGCAAGUCGAACGAGUGGCGGACGGGUGAGUAAUGUCUGGGAAACUGCCUGAUGGAGGGGGAUAACUACUGGAAACGGUAGCUAAUACCGCAUACCAUCAGAUGUGCCCAGAUGGGAUUAGCUAGUUGGUGGGGUAACGGCUCACCAAGGCGACGAUCCCUAGCUGGUCGUAGAGGCGGACCAGCACACCUGUAAAUGAGACACGGUCCAGACUCCGACGGGAGGCAGCAGUGGGGAAUAUUGCACAAUGGGCGCAAGCCUGAUGCAGCCAUGCCGCUUGUAUGAAGAAGGCCUUCGGGUUGUAAAGUACUUUCAGCGGGGAGGCGUUACCCGCAGAAGAAGCACCGGCUAACUCCGUGCCAGCAGCCGCGGUAAUUC
rnacentral:rRNA from 1 species